CCCGCCUUAGCUCAGUGGCCAGAGCGCCCGACUGUAGAUCGGGCGGUCCCCGGUUCAAAUCCGGGAGGCGGGA
rnacentral:tRNA from 1 species